UCUACCCAUCUCUACGGAAUAACUCAGGGAAACUUGUGCUAAUACCGUAUACGCCCUUCGGGGGAAAGAUUUAUCGGAGAUGGAUGAGCCCGCGUUGGAUUAGCUAGUUGGUGGGGUAAAGGCCUACCAAGGCGACGAUCCAUAGCUGGUCUGAGAGGAUGAUCAGCCACACUGGGACUGAGACACGGCCCAGACUCCUACGGGAGGCAGCAGUGGGGAAUAUUGGACAAUGGGCGAAAGCCUGAUCCAGCCAUGCCGCGUGAGUGAUGAAGGCCCUAGGGUUGUAAAGCUCUUUCAACGGUGAAGAUAAUGACGGUAACCGUAGAAGAAGCCCCGGCUAACUUCGUGCCAGCAGCCGCGGUAAUACGAAGGGGGCUAGCGUUGUUCGGAAUUACUGGGCGUAAAGCGCACGUAGGCGGAUCGUUAAGUGAGGGGUGAAAUCCCAGGGCUCAACCCUGGAACUGCCUUUCAUACUGGCGAUCUUGAGUUCGAGAGAGGUGAGUGGAAUUCCGAGUGUAGAGGUGAAAUUCGUAGAUAUUCGGAGGAACACCAGUGGCGAAGGCGGCUCACUGGCUCGAUACUGACGCUGAGGUGCGAAAGCGUGGGG
rnacentral:rRNA from 1 species